rnacentral:rRNA from 1 species
UGGCCUACGGGAGGCAGCAGUAAGGAAUAUUGGUCAAUGGACGAAAGUCUGAACCAGCCAUGCCGCGUGCAGGAUGACUGCCCUAUGGGUUGUAAACUGCUUUUAUAUAGGAAGAAAAACUUUCUCGUGAGAAAGCUUGACGGUACUAUAAGAAUAAGGAUCGGCUAACUCCGUGCCAGCAGCCGCGGUAAUACGGAGGAUCCAAGCGUUAUCCGGAAUCAUUGGGUUUAAAGGGUCCGUAGGUGGACAAAUAAGUCAGAGGUGAAAUCCUGCAGCUCAACUGUAGAACUGCCUUUGAUACUGUUUGUCUUGAGUUAUUAUGAAGUGGUUAGAAUGUGUAGUGUAGCGGUGAAAUGCAUAGAUAUUACACAGAAUACCGAUUGCGAAGGCAGUUCACUAAUAAUCAACUGACACUGAUGGACGAAAGCGUGGGUAGCGAACAGGAUUAGAUACCCUGGUAGUCCACGCCGUAAACGAUGGUCACUAGCUGUUUGGACUUCGGUCUGAGUGGCUAAGCGAAAGUGAUAAGUGACCCACCUGGGGAGUACGUUCGCAAGAAUGAAACUCAAAGGAAUUGACGGGGGCCCGCACAAGCGGUGGAGCAUGUGGUUUAAUUCGAUGAUACGCGAGGAAAACCUUACCAGGGCUUAAAUGUUAGGUGACAGAUCUAGAAAUAGAUUUUUCCCUUCGGACACUUAACAAGGUGCUGCAUGGUUGUCGUCAGCUCGUGCCGUGACCGGUGUCAGGUUAAGUCCUAUAACGAGCGCAACCCCUGUUGUUAGUUGCCACAGCGAGUAAUGUCGGGAACUCUAACAAGACUGCCAGUGCAAACUGUGAGGAACAGGUGGGGAUGACGUCAAAUCAUCACGGCCCUUACGUCCUGGGCUACACACACGUGCUACAAUGGUAGGUACAGAGAGCAGCCAAUGCGCGAGCAUGAGCAAAUAUCUAUAAAACCUAUCUCAGUUCGGAUCGGAGUCCGCAACUCGACUCCGUUAGAAGCUGGAAUCGCUAGUAAUCGGAUAUCAGCCAUGAUCCGGUGAAUACGGUUUCCCGGGCCUUGUACACACCGCCCGUCAA